CUCAGUUCGGAUCGGNGUCUGCAACCCGACUCCGUGAAGCUGGAUUCGCUAGUAAUCGCGCAUCAGCCAUGGCGCGGUGAAUACGUUCCCGGGCCUUGUACACACCGCCCGUCAAGCCAUGGGAGCCGGGGGUACCUGAAGUCCGUAACCGGGAGGAUCGGCCUAGGGUAAAACUGGUGACUGGGGCUAAGUCGUAACAAGGUAUC
rnacentral:rRNA from 1 species